CAUGAAGCUGGAAUCGCUAGUAAUCGCGGAUCAGAAUGCCGCGGUGAAUACGUUCCCGGGUCUUGUACACACCGCCCGUCACACCAUGGGAGUCGGAAAUGCCCGAAGUCUGUGACCCAACCUACGGGAGGGAGCAGCCGAAGGCAGGUCGGAUGACUGGGGUGAAGUCGUAACAAGGUACC
rnacentral:rRNA from 1 species